AUUGAACGCUGGCGGCAUGCCUUACACAUGCAAGUCGAACGGCAGCGCGGGAGCAAUCCUGGCGGCGAGUGGCGAACGGGUGAGUAAUAUAUCGGAACGUGCCCAGUAGUGGGGGAUAGCCCGGCGAAAGCCGGAUUAAUACCGCAUGAGACCUGAGGGUGAAAGCGGGGGAGUCGCAAGACCUCGCGCUAUUGGAGCGGCCGAUAUCAGAUUAGCUAGUUGGUGGGGUAAAGGCCUACCAAGGCAACGAUCUGUAGUUGGUCUGAGAGGACGACCAGCCACACUGGGACUGAGACACGGUCCAGACUCCUACGGGAGGCAGCAGUGAGGAAUCUUGCGCAAUGGGCGAAAGCCUGACGCAGCGACGCCGCGUGGAGGAUGACGGUUUUCGGAUUGUAAACUCCUGUUAAGCGGGAAGAAAGCCUUGUUUCUAAUACAAGCAAGGUAUGACAGUACCGCUAGAGAAAGCACCGGCUAACUUCGUGCC
rnacentral:rRNA from 1 species